rnacentral:lncRNA from 7 species
GACAUGAAAGAUGAGGCAGAGGAACCUACAGCAGGCAAGGCAAGCUUCAGCCUAAAAAAUGCAGUGCGAAAGUGAGAAGCAAGAUUUUUCUAAGUACUCUGUCCCCAUGGGUAUCUCUGUGAUUGAAAGAAGACUUCAGUGAACUGAAGAGGCAUGACUCUGCUUCAAUGACAGAAUCUUUAGAAUAGCAGAUCAGAAUUUACAGCCAGGUCCCAGAAUCAAGUACAACUGCAGUGGUAAGCCAGGAUGAUUCGUGCUGCUGUGUAAUGAGAGAAAUCAUGCAUCUUUGGCUAUUCAUGGGCCUGAAAUACAGCCUCCUGCAGCUGAUAAGGUAUAAUGGCUUUCAGUGAGCUUCAGCACCUCUGAACUGAAUGCAGCGGAGACCCAACAUGACUGAAGUUUCCAAGUCCAACUGUAAGGUAAUUGAUUUAUCACUGCUUACUUUUGGCUCCUUAAUUAAGUAGGAAGAGAUAACUCAUCUGCCAGUAAGUGGAGCUCUUUGCUAGUCCAGGGCAGUCUUCACCAGGAACAUUUUUUUCUCCUUUUCUUUUUUUGUUUUACAAACUGUAAAGUUGGUAUUUAGUUUUUCUUCAGUCCUUUUGCAACUUCCACAUUAUGUUCCACUUCUGUUGCUUAUAAAUCAAGCAGAUUAUAAAUUAGUUUAUUUCCAUGGAGAUUUUUUUCCUUUUCUCUUUGUCGGACAAAUGUUGUAUUCAUUCACCCAUCCCUUAAAAUAAAGGGGAGCUCUUAGUACACUACUUUUAUCUUUAUUUUAAUUUUUUAUUUUUGUAAGAAAUAUAUCUCAGUAUUUUUAAUAAAAAUGGUGCAGAUUGCUAUACCAGGGAUUUCGGGGUGAUGGAAGGGUUUCCCAUGCUUUUCAGACUGUGAACUCAUUACCUACCAAUGAACAUUUGUAGUAAUGGUUCUUUGAGUGCAGCAUGUCAACCUAUUUGUACCAUGGUCUACUUUCUGGUGUUAUAAAAGGAUUGCUGUG